rnacentral:lncRNA from 1 species
AACUACUUAAAUAUACUUCUGUGAUAGUUUUUCCCUAUUUUCGCUCUCUUUUGCUUUCUUUGUCUUACUUAUUGGGAUCAGUACCUGCAAUUGUUAACCAACCUAUUAGAUUAUGCUUUACAUGGCUAGAACAUUAAAGUUGAAAGAAAACCAGAGGAGGGGUAUGUUAUGGAUGCAUUUGUUGGCAGACAAUUUACUAGACGCAAUUAAUAAGAUAGAUAAUGAUUGAUAUUUUCUGAAUUAUUUUGUCAGCUUUGAAUAAAACUUCCCUUAGUGAUUUAGAACUCUUGUUAUCUCUUUUAGUUAGGACUCUUUUCUGAGUUAGGAUUCUUGUUAUUUCUUAUUUGUUAGGACUCUUGCUUUGUAACCUCUAUUUAAGAGAGUUGACGCUUAUGAAUAAAAGUAGGUUGAAUUUCUUCAAGUCACAGAGAUUUGGAACUUUUCUCAAACAAGUUCCCAGGUGUGCAAUUCCCUGAUUGAAUUGUAAAUCCGGCAAUCGUAGGCAAGUCUAGGAACAAGAACAAGGACUUAGACCUUCGUGUUGGGCCUGACUUUCCUGUUAAUCGUCUAGCGACUCGAUCCAAAAUUAGGGACCAUAACAAUUUGGUAUCAGAGCUAAUAAAAUUGUGUGUGCUGCCUGAAUCCACUAAGUUAAGCAACAACUUCAUAUCAACUACAACUUGCAAUUGCAUAGUAUUUGCAUGUUGUUUGCCUGUGAUAGCAUGCAGUGAGAUGGCAGGCUCUUCGUUUUCCGUUGUUAUAUCCUCAGAUUCUCCAUCCUCUAUUUCCAGCCAAAAUAACUUUUUGCAUUGAUGGCCUGCAACUUAAGGAUCAUCGCAAUUGUAGCACAAUCCUUUUGCACGCCGGGCAGCCAUCUCGGUGCGAGUCAACCUUUUCACAAAAGGAUAAGAAGAAGCAGUAGUCUUAGCAGUUGGGGUCAUUGCUGUACCGGCAACUUUAACACUGUCGUUUGAGGUUGAACCAUUGCCCCUUUGUGUUGCAGAAGAAAUCUGUAUUUUCUUCUCAAAUGCUCUUGCCAGACUCAUUGCUUGCACUAAGUUAGAUAGAUUAUGCAUUUCAACAUCAAGACGAAUUGAAUCAACUAACCCUGCUGUAAACAUAUCAACUUGUUGGUCUAUGCGCACAGAUGAAGCAUGAGCCAACCGGUUUUGGAAGUUUCUCUAAUAUUCUUCCACAGAACUGGUUUGUUUCAAGUUGAUCAACUCUCCUAAUGGGUUACUUUUCAUUGGUGGGCCAAAUCGAAGGGUACAAUAUUCUUUGAACACACCCAACGUUAAAUUGGGUUCCUCCAAUUCUAGUUGAUAAACCCAUAAUUGGGCCUCCCCGACCAUGUGAAAAGAAGCUAACCCUACUUUUUCUUGGUUGGCAGUAUGCUGGUUAGCAAAGAAUUUCUCACAACGGUGAAGCCAAAUAAGAGGAUCUUCAAUUCCAUCAUAAGUAGGAAAAUCUAAUUUAGUAUAUCUAGGUACUAUACCUCUUCCUCCGAUGAUGUCAUCAAUACCAGAAUUGAUGUUAUUUCUUCUCCCUAGAUGAAGAUCUGAAUGUUCACCUGCAUUAGUAGUUCGAUGGGCAGCAACAACACUAUUAUCUCCAACUUCAACUCCCUUCAUACACGUCGCGGUGCGGAUUAAGGCUUCAAUCUGUUGCGAUAGUUGCUGGAAUUUGGCGUCUGUCCUCGCAUCUGAAGCUGAUACUUUUGCUUCAGCUUCAGCUUGGGCUUCCUCGAAAAGAUUUCGCAACUUUGCUUCUACAGAUUUUUCGUCCAUCGUGACAAGCUCUGAUACCAAUUUCGCAACUUCAUCGCAACAUAAGAUGAAGACUGUUUAUGAUAAAGGACAUCGUGAUGUGGAAUUCUCUCCGGGAUCGUAUGUUUGGUUACGUUUACAUCCAUAUUGCCAAAAACCUCUGGCUAGCCGUGUCUAUCAUAAACUUGCACCAAAAUUUUAUGGCCCUUUUGCAGUUUUGAGGCGCAUAGGAUCUGUAGCUUAUCAACUUGAUCUACCUGCACGUUGCAAGCUUCAUAAUGUGUUUCAUGUGUCACUUCUUAAGCCAUUCAAGGGUGAGAUACCUGCAACUCUACCUACUUUUCCACCAAUUGAAGAAGGACGCAUUGUUCCUACCCCUUGCUCUGUGCUUCGCUCCCGUCUGAAUCGUGGUAAUUGGGAACUUUUGGUUCAGUGGUGUGGUUUCUCUGUUGAGGAUUCCACUUGGGAGAAUGUAGAUCAUUUCAAAUCUGCCUUUCCAGACUUCAAGCUUGAGGACAAGCUUUUUCUCUAGGAAGGGAGUAAUGUUAUGGAUGCAUUUGUUGGCAGACAAUUUACUAGACGCAAGAAUUAAUAGGAUAGAUAAUGAUUGAUAUUUUCUGAAUUAUUUUGUCAGCUUUGAAUAAAACUUCCCUUAGUGAUUUAGAACUCUUGUUAUCUCUUUUAGUUAGGACUCUUUUCUAAGUUAGGAUUCUUGCUAUUUCUUAUUUGAUAGGACUAUUGCUUUGUAACCUCUAUUUAAGAGAGUUGACGCUUAUGAAAAAAAGUAGGUUGAAUUUCUUCAAGUCAUAGAGAUUUGGAACUUUUCUCAAACAAGUUCCCAGGUGUGCAAUUCCCUGAUUGAAUUGCAAAUACGGCAAUCAUAGGCAAGUCUAGGAACAAGAACAAGGGAUUAAACCUUUGUGUUAGGCCUGACUUUCCUGUUAAUCGUCCAGUGACUCGAUCCAAAAUUAGGGACCAUAACAAGGUACCUUCUAACAGAU